UACGGAGGAGGCAAGCGUUAUCCGGAAUUAUUGGGCGUAAAGCGUCCGUAGGUGGUGAUUCAAGUCAGCGGUUAAAGCGUGGGGCUUAACCUCAUACAGGCCGUUGAAACUGGAUUGCUAGAGUGCGGUAGGGGUCGAGGGAAUUCACAGUGUAGCGGUGAAAUGCGUAGAUAUUGGGAAGAACACCGGUGGCGAAAGCGCUCGGCUGGGCCUGCACUGACACUGAGGGACGUCAGCUAGGGGAGCUAAAGCG
rnacentral:rRNA from 1 species